rnacentral:lncRNA from 10 species
CGGGUCCAUCCUCUUGCUCACCUUCUUCAUUGGCUAGAGCCGGGAGCAGAGCGAGUGAGCAGUGUGCAGAUGAGCCAUGGUGGAGUUCUCCGGGACUUUCCAGGCCUGCCGGCCACCCCACUGCAGGAUGGCAGUUUUGAAAAUGAGGGAUGCCCUCCAAAGAGGAUGACUUUAGGUGACAUGCAGACCCUGCGGUCAAUCAAGGAGAGAAGAGCAUGCUGGUUUGAAGUAGUCAAGGGCUGGAGCUUGAAAGAGGAACAAAUGAAGCCUGACCUUGGGAGGAACUUCCAAAGAUUCUGAGCCAACUCCCAACAGGGAGCUCUCAGGGUUCAGCGAGUGUCCUGAGUGUGCUGUCUUGUGUGUGAUGCUGGCUAGGCCAAGCCUGAUGGUUCCUCAUGAGAAUGUCCUGGCCUGUGCUGCUGAAGGUUUAGGUCUGGGAUGGAUAGAAAAUGAAAACUGUCCCUUCACCGUGGAGUUUGAGAAGCCCCAUGGAGGAUUCAAGUAAUUUAGGCAUUGGAAUCCACCUCCUGUGGCCAAUUUCAAGCCUAAAAUCUGCUGAGGAACUGAACUUGGGCAGGGAAACCUGAGAAUAAACAUGAGGAAUGGAGAAGUCUCUGUACCACAUUUAAUAUGAGUGGAGCUGAUCGCGUAUGUCCCCAUCCCCAUAUGAGCCAGGACAGUGCAGGUGCCUUUUACAGAAGAUGGAGGUCAGUGAUGUAAUGGGGCUCACCUGAAGGCGCUCAGACUGUUCAGCACUCACAUUUCCAUCCAGAGCCCAGUCUUUAAACUCCCAGUUCAAUCUCCCACCCCAGUCCCUCAUUCCAAAAAACACAACAGGAACCAGAACGGGAAUCAAGUCUAAGUGUUUAAUUAUUAUUCACAUAUUUCACAGAAAAAAA